UACGUAGGUCCCGAGCGUUGUCCGGAUUUAUUGGGCGUAAAGCGAGCGCAGGUGGUUUAUUAAGUCUGGUGUAAAAGGCAGUGGCUCAACCAUUGUAUGCAUUGGAAACUGGUAGACUUGAGUGCAGGAGAGGAGAGUGGAAUUCCAUGUGUAGCGGUGAAAUGCGUAGAUACAUGGAGGAACGCCGGUGGCGAAAGCGGCUCUCUGGCCUAUAACUGACACUGAGGCUCGAAAGCGUGGGGAGCAAACAGG
rnacentral:rRNA from 1 species